AGGUCUUUCGGGACCUAUGUCUUCUCAUAACACACUGUAUGUCUAGAAUGUCAUUACGAUUAUCGUCUGCUUCCUCUGUGGAGUUGGGCUGAUAAGAUAAACAAUAUACAACUCUCAGCAACGGAUCUCUUGGCUCUCGCAUCGAUGAAGAACGCAGCGAAUUGCGAUAUGUAAUGUGAAUUGCAGAUUUUCAGUGAAUCAUCGAAUCUUUGAACGCACCUUGCGCUCCUCGGUAUUCCGAGGAGCAUGCCUGUUUGAGUGUCAUUAAAUUCUCAACCCCAUCGAUUUGUUUCGGUUGUGGGAUUGGAUUGUGGGGGUUUGCUGGCGGACUCUCGUCCGUCGGCUCCUCUGAAAUGUAUUAGCAAAGGUUGAUGUGCGAACCAGUGUCUCGGUGUGAUAAUGAUCAUCGUGCCUGACGUGCAGUGUCCUGUGCUUACAGUCGUCGUAAGACAACAUUUUGAACCUUUGACCUCAAAUCAGGUAGGAUUACCCGCUGAACUUAA
rnacentral:rRNA from 1 species